rnacentral:lncRNA from 1 species
ACACUUGUCUGCUGGCAAUUCUAUUUCAAAGCCUCUCAACAACUCUGAUCCUUUUGCGGCAUUCUGUCCUUAUCUGAAAGUUGGCAAAUUCCAAUUGAGACUUCUAAAAGGAAUUCCUACAACUAAUGUAUACAGCUGGAAUUAUCAACUUUAAUCAAAGAGAAAAAGAAGGCUAACUUCCAUUUCCAAAGCUCAUCUGUAUGCAUGUAUCUCAUCAGCAACAGAUAUUUCUGCUCUGCAUUUAUUUCUAUGGUUCAUCAAGGGACUUUUCUGGACAUAAUGCUAUCUGACAUAUGUACGAAUCCUUCUUUGUUUUUUGGCUCAAAGCUUGCUUUCUGAGGCAUUUCUUGUGAUAAGACUCCGACUUAGAUGAGAGGUGGGUGUCCCUUAUGCUUCCUAUAGAGACUCCUUGCUUCUAUUUCCUUUCUUUUCUACUGCCCUAUUUCCCCAUCACUCCAAUCCACAGUAGUAUCUGUCCUUCCCUUCCCCAUCUCCCUUAUUAAGAUUUGUAAUAAACUGGUCAGACCAACAUUUGAACUGUUGUUUCUUAAUCUCACGCCGGGUAUACGUAUAUCAAAGAACCUCCUCUCCCUCCUGUAAAUUGGAGUGAGACAACAUAAUCACCGAAAUACAGAAACUCCUGCUAACUGACACAGGGCUGGAGAGUUUCUCUCUUCCAGACAUACAUUAUUGACUACCUGCAUCUCAGUCAAAUGUCCAAAGCUGAGCUGGAAACAUAAAAUAGAAUUAAGUGUUUAUCCUAUGGACUGGUUGUCUAAAGCUCCUAAUACAACAACUUGGGUUGGUCACCUACAGGAAAUGGUCUCAGAUAAGUCACUGAUAUUUGGGAUGGCAAAAAUCACAAUAAAAUUCACAUUCAAGAUUAAGAGAUAAGAGACUGGAUCUAAUAAGACUAUUGAUAAAGUUCUGGAAGAAUUAGUACAGAAUAAUCUACAAUAAAACAGGAGAUGCUGCUCUCUGUCCUAUUCUGUAGCUUCAUUUUUCAACCAUCUUUCAUGCUAAAUAGUAACGUUUAAUGUACCGUUAGGUAUCAUUUGCUAUUUCUCUUUUCAGCUGUCUUUCUUUCUUCCCUUGGGAAUGUCAUUCCUCUCCCUGCAUUAUGUUACCACUUGCAAAUCUGAUCACUGUGUUGUUUAGUACCUUUUAUAAUGAAUAUGUAUGAAGGUAAAACAUUCUAUAUUUUACUCUGUUUUCCAGUUUUCAUAUAAUUGCACAGUACUUAUAUAUACAAAAUUAAUGUGUUUUCCACAGAAAAUAUGAAAAUACUAAAUGAUUCUAGUAUUGCAAAACAUUGAUGCUGUGUUCUCUAU